rnacentral:rRNA from 1 species
UACGAAGGGGGCUAGCGUUGCUCGGAAUCACUGGGCGUAAAGGGUGCGUAGGCGGGUCUUUAAGUCAGGGGUGAAAUCCUGGAGCUCAACUCCAGAACUGCCUUUGAUACUGAGGAUCUUGAGUUCGGGAGAGGUGAGUGGAACUGCGAGUGUAGAGGUGAAAUUCGUAGAUAUUCGCAAGAACACCAGUGGCGAAGGCGGCUCACUGGCCCGAUACUGACGCUGAGGCACGAAAGCGUGGGGAGCAAAGAGG